AUUGAACGCUGGCGGCAGGCCUAACACAUGCAAGUCGAGCGAGCGGCGGACGGGUGAGUAAUGUUUGGGAAACUGCCUGAUGGAGGGGGAUAACUACUGGAAACGGUAGCUAAUACCGCAUACCAUCAGAUGUGCCCAGAUGGGAUUAGCUAGUAGGUGGGGUAACGGCCCACCUAGGCGACGAUCCCUAGCUGGUCUGAGAGGAAGACCAGCCACACUGGAACUGAGACACGGUCCAGACUACUACGAGAGGCAGCAGUAGGGAAUAUUGCACAAUGGGCGAAAGCCUGAUGCAGCCAUGCCGGGUGUAUGAAGAAGGCCUUCGGGUUGUAAAGUACUUUCAGCGGGGAGGCGUUACCCGCAGAAGAAGCACCGGCUAACUCCGUGCCAGCAGCCGCGGUAAUUC
rnacentral:rRNA from 1 species